GACGAACGCUGGCGGCGUGCUUAACACAUGCAAGUCGAACGGAAAGGCCCUGCUUUUGUGGGGUGCUCGAGUGGCGAACGGGUGAGUAACACGUGUGUAACCUGUCCUUGACUUUGGGAUAACUUCAGGAAGCUGGGGCUCAUACCGGAUAGGAGCUCCUGCUGCAUGGUGGGGGUUGGAAAGUUCCGGCGGUUGGGGAUGGACUGGCGGCUUAUCCGCUUGUUGGUGAGGUAGUGGCUUACCAAGGCUAUGACGGGUAGCCGGCCUGAGCGGGUGACCGGCCACAUUGGGACUGCGAUACGGCCCAGACGCGUACGGGAGGCAGCGGGGGGGAAUAUUACACAAUGGGCGGAAGCCUGAUGCAGCGACGCCGCGUGCGGGAUGACGGCCUUCGGGUGGUAAACCGAUUUGGCAGGUGACGAAGCGUGAGUGACGGUAAUGGGUAAAGAAGCACCGGCUAACUACGUG
rnacentral:rRNA from 1 species